rnacentral:rRNA from 1 species
UUAAGUGAAUAAGGGCGUACGGUGGAUGCCUAGGCACUUGGAACUGAAGAAGGACGCAACAAACGGCGAAACGCGACGGGGAGUGGUACGUACACAAAGAUCCGUCGAUAUCCGAAUGGGGAAACCCGGCAGCAGUAAUGAGCUGUCACCCAUGAGUGAAUACAUAGCUCAUGAGGGAGGUACCCGGAGAACUGAAACAUCUAAGUAUCCGGAGGAAAAGAAAAUAAGAAUGAUUCCGUAAGUAGCGGCGAGCGAACGCGGAGGAGCCCAAACCAGAUCUUGAUCUGGGGUUGUAGGACCACGAAAUGGCAAGAGCAUGGCUAAGAGAACGGCAUUGAAAGGCCGACCGGAGAGGGUGCAAGUCCCGUAACUGAAAGCAAUGUGAAGCCUAGUGGUAUCCUGAGUACGGCGAGACACGAGAAAUCUUGUCGGAAGCAGGCGGGACCAUCCGUCAAGGCUAAAUAUACCCAAGUGACCGAUAGUGAACCAGUACCGUGAGGGAAAGGUGAAAAGAACCGCGGGAGCGGAGUGAAAUAGAACCUGAAACCGUAUGCUUACAAGAAGUCAGAGCCCGUUAAAGGGUGAUGGCGUGCCUUUUGUAGAAUGAACCGGCGAGUUACGUUAUCGUGCGAGGUUAAGUAGAAGAUACGGAGCCGAAGCGAAAGCGAGUCUUAAUAGGGCGACAGUACGAUGAUGUAGACCCGAAACCGUGUGAUCUAGCCAUGACCAGGUUGAAGUUCAGGUGAAACUGAAUGGAGGACCGAACCGACCCCCGUUGAAAAGUUGGCGGAUGAGUUGUGGCUAGGGGAGAAAUUCCAAUCGAACACGGAUAUAGCUGGUUCUCCCCGAAAUAGCUUUAGGGCUAGCGUCGAGGCAGAGUCGCAUGGAGGUAGAGCACUGAAUGUACGAUGGCCCCAUCCCGGGGUACUGAGUAUAAUCAAACUCCGAAUGCCAUGCAGACGUACUCGGCAGUCAGACUGUGGGUGAUAAGGUCCAUGGUCAAAAGGGAAACAGCCCAGACCGCCAGUUAAGGUCCCAAAAUGUAUGCUAAGUGGAAAAGGAUGUGGGGAUGCACAGACAACUAGGAGGUUGGCUCAGAAGCAGCCAUCCUUCAAAGAGUGCGUAACAGCUCACUAGUCGAGUGACCCUGCGCCGAAAAUGUACCGGGGCUAAGCAUACUACCGAAGCUGCGGAUUCAACUUUAGAGUUGAGUGGUAGGGGAGCGUUGCAUGCACGUAGAAGCCGUACCGUAAGGAGCGGUGGAGAGCAUGGAAGAGAGAAUGCCGGUGUGAGUAGCGAGAUGUAGGUGAGAAUCCUACACACCGAUAGCCCAAGGAUUCCAGGGGAAGGUUCGUCCGCCCUGGGUAAGUCGGGACCUAACGCGAGGCCGAAAGGCGUAGUGGAUGGAAAACAGGCAGAUAUUCCUGUACCCGCGAUGGAAAUGAAGGAAUGACGGAGAAGGCUAGUGUGAGCCACUGAACGGAUUGUGGUCAAAGCAUAUAGCAGGCUGACAGUGAAAUGCGUCAGCGGGAUGUAAGAUGUGACAGGUAAGGGAACGUCCUUGGACAAGUACUGAAGCACAUGAUGCCAGCUUCCAAGAAAAGUUUCUAGUGAUAAUUCCAUAGCGGCCCGUACCAAAACCGACACAGGUGGGCAAGGAGAGAAUCCUGAGGUGAGCGAGAGAACUGUUGCCAAGGAACUCGGCAAAAUGACUCCGUAAGUUAGCGAUAAGGAGUGCUCUUGUAAAAGAGAGCCGCAGUGAAGAGGCCCAAGCGACUGUUUAACUAAAACACAGCUCUCUGCAAAGUCGCAAGACGAAGUAUAGGGGGUGACGCCUGCCCGGUGCUGGAAGGUUAAGAGGAUUUGUCAUCCGCAAGGAGAAGCAAUGAAUUGAAGCCCCAGUGAACGGCGGCCGUAACUAUAACGGUCCUAAGGUAGCGAAAUUCCUUGUCAGGUAAG